GUAAUUCAUAUUUUGUGUUAAGAAAAAACUGAGUUGUACAAUGCAACCAUAGACGGUCACAUACAUCAAAACAGUCGGUUCCUGCCAACAGAGUCUGUAUAGUUAUCAGAUUUUCUGUGCGAUGGCUCCAUACAUA